ACCAUUGUCCAAGAAGGACUUAAUCAAUGUGUCGGAGAGGCCAAUCAACAGUGUCACCCCUGGAUGAGGUUCUUGUAUACGGGGCCUCCACAUCCCCAAGUACAUAAUAUCCCAAAGCAAAAUGUGUGGCAUCGCAUUAUCCCCCAAGUACAUUAUCCCUCGCCUGGUGCUUAAUCUUUUGUUGUGUGGUUUUUCGUUUGUUUUGUUCUUUUGGCUUGUUUUUAGUUCUUUAGUUUGGUGUGUUUGUUCUGUUUGUUUGGUUGGGUUUGGCUCCCCUUUGGGCCUUU
rnacentral:lncRNA from 1 species